rnacentral:rRNA from 1 species
AGCGGACUUGAUGGAGAGCUUGCUCUCCUGAUGGUUAGCGGCGGACGGGUGAGUAACACGUAGGCAACCUGCCUGCAAGACCGGGAUAACCCACGGAAACGUGAGCUAAUACCGGAUAUCUCAUUUCCUCUCCUGAGGGGAUGAUGAAAGACGGAGCAAUCUGUCACUUGCGGAUGGGCCUGCGGCGCAUUAGCUAGUUGGUGAGGUAACGGCUCACCAAGGCGACGAUGCGUAGCCGACCUGAGAGGGUGAACGGCCACACUGGGACUGAGACACGGUCCAGACUCCUACGGGAGGCAGCAGUAGGGAAUCUUCCGCAA